rnacentral:tRNA from 1 species
GCCCGGUUAGCUCAAUCGGUAGAGCGUGAGACUCUUAAUCUCAAGGUUGCGGGUAAGCUCACAAUUCAUCCACAUACAAAUCAUCAAAUCACGUGCUAAUCACGAGAUCUCGCAGGUUCGACCCCCGCAUCGGGCU